CUGGAAAUGUUGCUUCCCAGUGCGGAGGGAUUAAACGAUAUGGUUUGAAAAUUCCACGUCACUACCUUCCUUCUCCCUCGCACAGAUCAGUCCGCAUGUUCUUGGUACCCGUGUUUCUUUGUGGAAUAUGUUGAGCAAACCUGGGGAAGCUUCAGCUCAGGAAAAUAUUGUUGUCAUUGCUGUGAUUCUUCACGUGAUACACUGAUUUGCAGGAGAGAUGAGUCCUCCGUCACAGAUGGUUGGUCAGUGAAGAUGGUCGCCUGCAGGUUCAAGCUCAUUGCAUCUCCAACCCACAUCCACUGCCACUGUACUUAAGGGAAGGUAAAGACUUUCUUCUGCACCUACAUUUGGAUCACCUCGAUCCAUGACAGUCAUUCAGGCAGUAAUGCCUGGACUGGAAACAAGCCAUCCUUAAAAUAAUACAACAUACCAGCUUCUGUGUUUGAAUGCAAAACAAAUGUGUUGUUUAAACUAGAGACUGCACUUGUGACUGAACAAUAAAUACAUUUAUUUCGAUUAUAUAAGUAAUGUAAGUACAAAACAGAUGUGUAAAGCCUGAAUGUAGUUUCAGAAUAAUUAAAUCUGAGACUUUGUUUCAUUUACACAUUCUAACAAUGAUGGUAAUAUAAUUGUUUGUUGUUCAGCAGAACAGUGUCCAGUAUGUUGGUUCAUAUACUUCAUUACAUUUGAAAAUAAAAUUUGGGCUGAUUUUAACACCAUUACAAGAAGUGUAGUUAAUUAUUCUUUUUGAAUCAUAUUUGCAUUCAGUGUUAUAUUAAUAUAAAACAUAAUGUGAUUGUAAAAAAAGAAUAAAGUAAGUUAGCACAAAUAGUUUUUUAAUUUAGUAGAACUUGAAAUGUUUGACAGAAAGUAAACAUUUAGUACUGCACAGUCAGAAACAUCAAGUUAUUCUUAGUACUGCAUACUUGCAAUGAAUAAGUUGUCCUAACAUAGUUUUACUAAGUAAGCUUUACUCCAUUUUUUGAGUUCUGGGAACUAAUUGGAUUUUGCAGUGAGACUGUUUUUAUUUGAUAGUGUUUUAUUUUGGGGAGUGCAGACUUGCAGCUUUAACUGUUCAGGACCUGCAGAUAUUUAGAGGAUUAUGUAUAACAGGACAAAGAAAAUCCAUAAAAAUACUUUAUUUGUUAGAUGUAUGUUGUAGAUUUGUUAUUGUUAUUUAUGGUUCUCUGAAAUACUGGCAACAUUUCAAACUUGUACUGAUGUAC
ensembl:lncRNA